rnacentral:rRNA from 1 species
AGUGGCGAACGGGUGAGUAAUGCCUAGGAAUCUGCCAUUUAGUGGGGGAUAACGUUCCGAAAGGAACGCUAAUACCGCAUACGUCCUACGGGAGAAAGAGGGGGAUCUUCGGACCUCUUGCUAAAUGAUGAGCCUAGGUCAGAUUAGCUAGUUGGUGAGGUAAAGGCUCACCAAGGCGACGAUCUGUAGCGGGUCUGAGAGGAUGAUCCGCCACACUGGAACUGAGACACGGUCCAGACUCCUACGGGAGGCAGCAGUGGGGAAUAUUGGACAAUGGGGGCAACCCUGAUCCAGCCAUGCCGCGUGUGUGAAGAAGGCCUUUUGGUUGUAAAGCACUUUAAGCGAGGAGGAGGGUACUCUAGCUAAUACCUAGAUGUAUCGGACGUUACUCGCAGAAUAAGCACCGGCUAACUCUGUGCCAGCAGCCGCGGUAAUACAGAGGGUGCGAGCGUUAAUCGGAAUUACUGGGCGUAAAGCGCGCGUAGGCGGUUUGUUAAGUCGGAUGUGAAAUCCCCGGGCUCAACCUGGGAACUGCAUUCGAUACUGGCAGACUAGAGUAUGGGAGAGGAUGGUAGAAUUCCAGGUGUAGCGGUGAAAUGCGUAGAGAUCUGGAGGAAUACCGAUGGCGAAGGCAGCCAUCUGGCCUAAUACUGACGCUGAGGUGCGAAAGCAUGGGGAGCAAACAGGAUUAGAUACCCUG